CAUUUCCUAGCGUCUCUCCCGUGCCUCCUCGGUGGGAGGGACUAAGAUGCGAGGAAGGGAGGCAAGUGGAGAAGUCAAUUUGAGGGACACUGAGAGGA